rnacentral:rRNA from 1 species
AUGNUUUAUGUUGGUUAUUGUGAUAACGUAAGGGAAAAAAAUGAUAUUACCUUACUAUUAGUGUUGUCCAAAACUGGUGCCAGAAGACUCGGUAAGGCCAGAGACGCGAACGUUAGUCGUCCUAAUCAGGCGUAAAGGGUGUGUAGGCUGCUUUCAAAGUCAUAUCUUUCAAAAGCUCUUAUAACGAAGUUUGUUUAAAGGCGUAGAUUUAAACAUCUCCAAUCUAAGGUAAAGAUAGGGUGAAUAAAAGCUAGAAUCAAAACGAGGAUAAGCCAAAUAAUACUUAGAGUAGGGUUGAUAUCCGUAGAUCGUAAGUGGAAUACUAAAAGUGAAAACUAUUUAUCUAGGACUGAUUGACGCUGAGAAACGAAGGUGAGAAUAGGAAAUAGGAUUUGAUACCCAGAUACCUCUCACUGUCAACGAUGAAUGGUGGUUUGUUAGUUUAUAUAAGAACUAGUAACGAUCGUAACGCGAUAACCAUUCCGCCUUGCGAGUACGGUUGCAAAACUGAAACCAAAAA